GUCUACAGCCAUACCACCCUGAAUAUGCUCAAUUUGUCUGAUCUCGGAAGCUAAGCAGGGUCGGGCCUGGUUAGUACUUGGAUGGGAGACAAAUGUUUGAAGUGAUGGAUAUGCU
rfam:Otolemur garnettii contig012725, whole genome shotgun sequence.